rnacentral:tRNA from 1 species
GCCGGAAUAGCUCAGAGGUCAGAACAGAGGACUGAAAAUCCUCGUGU